rnacentral:rRNA from 1 species
UACGAAGGGCCCGAGCGUUGCGCGGAAUCACUGGGCUUAAAGCGUACGUAGGUGGGCGUGCAGGCGUUUUGUGAAAUCCCUCGGCUCAACCGAGGAAUUGCUUGACGAACCGCACGUCUUGAGGCAGGUAGGGGUCGUCGGAACGAUAGGUGGAGUGGUGAAAUGCGUUGAUAUCUAUCGGAACGCCGAAGGAGAAAUCAGGCGACUGGGCCUGUCCUGACACUCAUGUACGAAAGCGUGGGGAGCGAACGGG